GUUCCAGUAAUGCAAUGGAUAGCGUGUUGAAACUUCUAAUCUAACAGUUGUGGGUUCGAAUCUCACCUGGGAUG